GGCUCCAUGCUGGGCAUGAACUCAGGACCCUGAGAUCAAGACCUGAACUGAUAGCAAGAGUCAGACGUUUAACCGACUGAACCAUCCAGGCACUCCAAGGCUGGUUUUUUUAAACCCAGGGAUUGUACCAAUGCAAGAGAGAGGAAACCAGAUUUGACAAAUGCAGGAUGGGGCUCUGUGGUUUACACAAACACAGAAGAGAAACAUCUGGGGACGGAAUGGCCUCAAAUGGAAAAUGGUCAGACACUGCUGGGUCCUGGAGGACGGACUGAGGGGGAUGCAGACGAGACCCCUGCCCACAAGGUGCCCUCUAGCCUGGUGAGGAAGACGGAUGUUCAAGUAACUAAAGUGCUUAGCAUGGACAGGUUCUUGCUGAAUGCCAGAAGGUCUAGGGGUUCCAGUCCAAUGGAUCGUCAACCCCUAUGCAGAUGGGAAAACUGAAGCACAGAAAGAUGCAGCAUCAGCAGAGUGUUCUUGGCAUCACCAUAUUCUUGGCAAGUGCUUUGCGUUUCAUCUAGAACUGAGAGACCGUUCUGGUUGCGCAAAAGGGUGAGAACAAGACAACCUCCAGGCCGGAGUGGUCUGGGCUGACUGCUGGGGGGCUGACUUCUCCAGGACCUGUCCCCAGCCCCUCCGUCCGCAUCCUUUCUAUACGAUCUCCUCUCUCCGCCUCAAGCACCCUUGUCUUGGAAGAUGCUCUUCCCUCCCCUGGAAUAUUCCUCACCAUCACUCUAACCCCAGAUCACCUGGGCUGGGCUCCAGGUGCCUCUGCUCAGGCUAAGUCCCUGCUCUGUGCCCCCAGUGCACCGUGCAUUCACCCCACCAUGCAUGACAUCCAGGGUGUUCAAAUGCUCUGCUCUGUGCCUGGCUCCCUCCCAACCAGUGCCCUCCAGGAGGCAGGGACAGGAACCACAGAGUCCUAAGUGGAUGUUUGCCGAGUGAACACGUGGAGAUUAGCUGUCUCCUCUCACUUUCUGUCCCCACCUCCCUCAGAUGCAAUACCUUCAGAUAGCAAUAUAUUAAUUUCAGCUGGACCCACUUCUGACAACCAUUUUGUUCAAUAACAGAGAUCUGGAAAGAUGUGCCUGUUGAUUUUGUUUGGGUUUGCUUUUGAAACAGAUGGGCUUAUCUCCUCUGGACCGCUUGUCUCCAAUAACGGUGCCACGCACGGUGGAGGACAAAAGAUUCCCAAGUGUUUGACCUGCUUCAGCCUGUGUUUUGUGGCUAACGUGUGGGUUUGCUGCAGUGACCAUGGGUGUCCGCGUGGGCCUGCAGCAUCAGUUUUGGAGGGUGGUUGGAGGCCCAGAGUCUGGGAUUGGACUGCCUGAUUCCAGGCCUCAGAGUUACUGAACCUCUUUGUACCUCAGUCUCCUCAUCUGUAAAAUGGGGUUACAUAAUGAAAUAUGGCUGCCACACCAGGGUUUUGUCGGCAUUAAAUGAGAUCACUCAGAUAAAGCCCUUAACGCAGUGCCUGGUGUAGAGUGAGUGUUCGGUGAAGGUGGGCACGUGUUCCUAUUGUGUUGCACUGGUAACCAAUGGAAAUAUCAGACCAGGACCUCCACUGGAACAGAGACUGAGCAUUUGGAGUCAAACAUCUGCUUCCAUUCUGCAGAUCUGGGCUCCCAGGACUAGAUGUUGGAAUUACUCUGCAAUUUCAGAUGAGUCUUUUUAUGGUCAGGUGGGCAUCAUUCAAGGAGACAUGUUCAGUCUAUCUGCCUGAUGAAGUGUGAGCCUCACAGUGUGAGCCUGUCUUCUCUCACUUAACAGCCACCUGGCUCUCCUAGUUGGCAAUCUACUUGGCACACGGGCCACCUCCUGGUGUAGAGCAGGGGUCAACAGAUGACAUCCCUCAAGCCAAAUCUGGCCCACAACCUGUUUUUGUAAAUAAAGUUUUAUUGGAACACAGCCAUGCCCAUGCAUUUACAUCUUGUCUAUGGCUGCUUUUGAACUAUAAUGGCAGAAUUGAGUAAUUAUCAUAGAGACUGUAAGGCUUGCAAAGUCUAAAAUAUUUUCUGUCAGGACCUUUGUGGGAAAAAUUCAGCUACACCUGCUGUUCAAUUGAAACAGGAUUUAAAGAGUAAUCUGGUUGAGCUAAAUCAGUAACCUGAGCAUCAUCCCAUCUCCUCACUCUCCCUCAGCCCUGAUAUCAGGUCGAUCACCAAGAUCAGAUGAUUUUGCUCCACUAUAUUGCCUAUGUUUUCCCCUCAUCUCUUUCUCAAAAGCCACUAUCUUAGUUUAGCUCUGUCUCCACCCCUCUUGACUAUCUCACACCAGGGCCACCACCAGCCUCUAAAGUGUCUGGGUGAAUUAGAUAAAGAUGUCUUCUCUGGGUAGCGACAGCUCCAUGACACACAUGGUCAAUAGCAGGAGUGCCUCUGUGCAGGGAAAAAGCCACCUCACCCUAAUGGUUAUACCGAAUCGGUUAUAGCUCUUAUGCCUACUAGUUAUAUCUGUUGAUCGUACAUUCUCCUUGCUUACCUAUCCAGGUAGUCCUUCACCCUAGAGCUAGAGUGAUCUUUCUAACAGGCUCUGUCCCUCUCCUGCUCAGCCCCUCCAUAGCUCCCCUCAUCCUCAUGACAGAGCCCAGGUGCAUGAUAUUCAAAUCCUGUUAUGGUCUGGUCUUUGCCAGUCUCCCAGUCCCAUGCCUCACCACCUGCUCAGCCUACCUCACACCUGAGCACUGUCAUACAACUUGGAGUACCCUUUACCUAGAC